rnacentral:rRNA from 1 species
AUUGAACGCUGGCGGCAUGCUUUACACAUGCAAGUCGAACGGCAGCGCGGGCUUCGGCCUGGCGGCGAGUGGCGAACGGGUGAGUAAUGCAUCGGAACGUGCCCAGUAGUGGGGGAUAGCCCGGCGAAAGCCGGAUUAAUACCGCAUACGACCUGAGGGUGAAAGCGGGGGACCGAAAGGCCUCGCGCUAUUGGAUCGGCCGAUGUCGGAUUAGCUAGUUGGUGGGGUAAAGGCUUACCAAGGCGACGAUCCGUAGCUGGUCUGAGAGGACGACCAGCCACACUGGGACUGAGACACGGCCCAGACUCUUACGGGAGGCAGCAGUGGGGAAUUUUGGACAAUGGGGGCAACCCUGAUCCAGCCAUGCCGCGUGCGGGAAGAAGGCCUUCGGGUUGUAAACCGCUUUUGUUCGGGAAGAAAUCCUCUGGGCUAAUACCCCGGGGGGAUGACGGUACCGGAAGAAUAAGCACCGGCUAACUACGUG